rnacentral:rRNA from 1 species
CACGUAAGGGGCGAGCGUUGUUCGGAAUUAUUGGGCGUAAAGGGCGUGCAGGCGGUUUUGCAAGUCUGAUGUGAAAACUCUGGGCUUAACUCAGAAUCCGCGUUGGAAACUGCAAGACUAGAAUCUUGGAGGGGGAGUUGGAAUUCCUAGUGUAGGGGUGAAAUCUGUUGAUAUUAGGAAGAACACCGGUGGCGAAGGCGAACUCCUGGCCGAAGAUUGACGCUGAGGCGCGAAAGCGUAGGUAGCAAACAGG